GUGGAUUAGAUACCCGGGUAGUCCACGCCCUAAACGAUGCUGACUAGUUGUUCGGGAAUUUAUUCCUGAGUAACGUAGCUAACGCGUGAAGUCAGCCGCCUGGGGAGUACGGUCGCAAGAUUAAAACUCAAAGGAAUUGACGGGGACCCGCACAAGCGGUGGAUGAUGUGGAUUAAUUCGAUGCAACGCGAAAAACCUUACCUACCCUUGACAUGCCACUAACGAAGUAGAGAUACAUUAGGUGCCCGUAAGGGAAAGUGGACACAGGUGCUGCACGGCCGUCGUCAACU
rnacentral:rRNA from 1 species